rnacentral:lncRNA from 10 species
GUUUCAUGAAUGGCUUGCUGCCCUCUUUGCAGUAAUGAAUGGGUUCUUGCUCUGUUUGUUCACAUGAAAGCUGGUUCUUAAACAUCCUGGGACCUCACCCCUUGCCCUCGCUCCCACCUUCAUCAUGCAACACACCUGCUUCCCUUCACCAUGCGACACACCUGCUUCCCUUCACCUUCCACCAUGAUUGAAAGCUUCCUGAAGUCUUCACCAGAAGCAGAAGCUGCACGGUUUGUGGAACCAUGAGCCUCUUGUACGGUUUGUAGAACGUUUACCAGCCUUUGAUCUACAUGAUCAACAUGAGUGAAGAGAGACACUAAGAAAAAGAGGUGUUAUCAGUGAUGAAAUAAAAGUUAUUGAAACCUAAGGAUGAAAUGAACAGCAGCUGUGGAAGCUAUGAUUUGAAGACAAUUGCUUGACUUCACUCAAAUGCAUCCCUGAAUGAUUUCCUGGAACAGAACCUGCACUGUACUGCACUGUAAUAUGUUUUUAAAAAAGUGAUCAACUAAGACAAGAAUUGACAAGUUUGCAAGCAGAGCUGGAAGAAAGUAGAGAGCAUCCAAAAAG